AGGAAAGAUGGCGGCGUGCCUAAUACAUGCAAGUCGAGCGAACAGACGAGGAGCUUGCUCCUCUGACGUUAGCGGCGGACGGGUGAGUAACACGUGGAUAACCUACCUAUAAGACUGGGAUAACUUCGGGAAACCGGAGCUAAUACCGGAUAAUAUAUUGAACCGCAUGGUUCAAUAGUGAAAGACGGUUUUGCUGUCACUUAUAGAUGGAUCCGCGCCGCAUUAGCUAGUUGGUAAGGUAACGGCUUACCAAGGCAACGAUGCGUAGCCGACCUGAGAGGGUGAUCGGCCACACUGGAACUGAGACACGGUCCAGACUCCUACGGGAGGCAGCAGUAGGGAAUCUUCCGCAAUGGGCGAAAGCCUGACGGAGCAACGCCGCGUGAGUGAUGAAGGUCUUCGGAUCGUAAAACUCUGUUAUUAGGGAAGAACAAAUGUGUAAGUAACUAUGCACGUCUUGACGGUACCUAAUCAGAAAGCCACGGCUAACUACGUG
rnacentral:rRNA from 1 species